GUUAAAGCUAAGAUACAAGAUAAAGAAGGGAUCCCACCAGACCAACAGAGGUUAAUUUUCGCUGGGAAGCAAUUGGAGGAUGGCAGGACUCUAGCCGACUAUAAUAUUCAAAAGGAAUCGACUCUCCACUUGGUGCUGCGUCUUCGUGGAGGGAUGCAAAUAUUUGUAAAGACCUUAACAGGAAAGACCAUAACAUUGGAGGUUGAGAGCUCAGACACUAUUGACAACGUG
rnacentral:misc_RNA from 1 species